UGGCGGCACUAGCGCGGUGGUCCCACCUGACCCCAUGCCGAACUCAGAAGUGAAACGCCGUAGCGCCGANCGGGGUUGCGGACAGUGUCUGGUGGGUAGUUUGACUGGGGCGGUCUCCUCCCAAAGC
rnacentral:rRNA from 1 species